rnacentral:rRNA from 1 species
UACGGAGGGUGCAAGCGUUAAUCGGAAUUACUGGGCGUAAAGCGCACGCAGGUGGCUGAGUAAGUCGAUUGUGAAAGCCCUGGGCUUAACCUGGGAAUUGCAGUCGAUACUGCUCGGCUAGAGUAUGGGAGAGGGUAGUGGAAUUCCCGGUGUAGCGGUGAAAUUCGUAGAUAUCGGGAGGAACACCGGUGGCGAAGGCGGCGACCUGGGUUGACAUUGACGCUGAGGCGCGAAAGCGUGGGGAGCAAACAGG